ensembl:lncRNA
UUGGUGGCAAGGAUUUGCUUUCGCCCCGACUUCGGGAUGGGGAGAGUCCACGACUGUGGUCCCGAUCCUUAGAUGCGGGAAGUGUGUGACUCCUGGGCUGUGGGCAGAGGCACCUGCGUCUCCCCACAUCUUCAGGAAGGUGAACCAGUGAGGCACAGAGAAGUUGAGCACCUUGGGCAAUGUCACACAGCUCACGACGGAACCUGGUUCUUCUUCAGCAUCCCUGAUGUUAAGCUGAACAGGUCUGCUCCUGAUGCUGAAUUACUCUUGUCUGCUUACACAUCUGCCUGCUUUACAGAGUUCAGGCUGCUUUAUUUGUUUCAUCCACAUCUUUAAAAAUCCUGGUGCCCACACCAUGUCCUGGCACAAAGCUGGUGUUCGUUACAUGUUUGCUCGGCUCUGCAGGAAGAUGAAGGGUGCUCCAGGCUUCGGAGCCAUAAGUAUUCAUGCUGCC